GACGAAGGAUGCAAGCGUUAUCCGGAUUCAUUGGGUUUAAAGGGCGCGUAGGUGGCCUUAUAAGUCAGUGGUGAAAUCUCUGGGCUUAACCCAGAAAUUGCCAUUGAUACUGUAGGGCUUGAGUACAGUUGCUGUGGGCGGAAUAUGACAUGUAGUGGUGAAAUACAUAGAGAUGUCAUAGAACACCGAUUGCGAAGGCAGCUCACAAAACUGUAACUGACACUGAGGCUCGAAAGUGCGGGGAUCAAACAGG
rnacentral:rRNA from 1 species